CCUACGGGAGGCAGCAGUGGGGAAUUUUGGACAAUGGGCGCAAGCCUGAUCCAGCAAUGCCGCGUGAGUGAAGAAGGCCUUCGGGUUGUAAAGCUCUUUUGUCAGGGAAGAAACGGUGGGGGCUAAUAUCUCCUACUAAUGACGGUACCUGAAGAAUAAGCACCGGCUAACUACGUGCCAGCAGCCGCGGUAAUACGUAGGGUGCAAGCGUUAAUCGGAAUUACUGGGCGUAAAGCGUGCGCAGGCGGUUUUGUAAGUCUGUCGUGAAAGCCCCGGGCUCAACCUGGGAAUUGCGAUGGAGACUGCAAGGCUUGAAUCUGGCAGAGGGGGGUAGAAUUCCACGUGUAGCAGUGAAAUGCGUAGAGAUGUGGAGGAACACCGAUGGCGAAGGCAGCCCCCUGGGUCAAGAUUGACGCUCAUGCACGAAAGCGUGGGGAGCAAACAGGAUUAGAUACCCUGGUAGUCCACGCCCUAAACGAUGUCUACUAGUUGUCGGGUUUUAAUUAACUUGGUAACGCAGCUAACGCGUGAAGUAGACCGCCUGGGGAGUACGGUCGCAAGNUUAAAACUCAAAUGAAUUGACGGCUGAGAGNGCGACGACGACGACGAGGGAGGAGG
rnacentral:rRNA from 1 species